AUGACAGGGGCUAAGAAAAUCCAACAAUUCCGCCCCAUCUGCCUUCUUCGCUGCCCCUAUAAACUCAUUACAAAGGUGUUGGAUAACCAAGUAGCUAUCUAUGCGGAUAAGCUGAUCAGCCGCCACCAAAAUGCCUUCAUUAAAAACAGAAACAUCAUGGAUGGGAUUCUGUCUUUGCAUGAGGUGCUACAUCAUACUCACAACAAAAGAAAGAUUGGAGUGGUUUUAAAGCUUGAUUUUGAAAAAGCUUAUGACAAAAUCAACUGGGAUUUCCUUCUGGAAUGUGAUAGGAUGAGGGGGUUUAACAAUAAAUGGUGCGGAUGGAUUAAAAAUAUUCUGAAUAAUGGCACGGUGAGCAUUAAGUUGAAUAAUGAGACUGGGCCUUACUUUGUGAGCCGCAAAGGGGUUCGCCAGGGCGAUCCCCACUCACCCUUCAUGUUUAAUCUAGCGGUUGAGUGUCUCUCGAAGAUGAUUUUCAAUGCUCAAAAAGAGAAAUAG
rnacentral:rRNA from 1 species